rnacentral:lncRNA from 1 species
GCAUGUGUAAAUGCCAUCCAAUAUUUCGCCAGAGGUGUCAGAUCUGCCCUCUUGAUUUUGAUGCGAACACCAUUCGGGUUUCUAUGAAAAUGUCCUCCAGGUAUACAGAGCACCCUAUCCAUGUCUUCAUAAUCUGAACACUCUCUGAUGUUCAGUGCAAACUGGCACAGCUCUCCAGCCUACUCCGUACCCAGAAAGUUGUUGAUGGUCUCGGGGUCAUAUCUAAUGAUCUCCCCUCGAACAUAGCUGGUAUACCUCUCCAUCUGCACACCUCUAAACAGAGCAUUAGUAUAAAAUUCUUUUAUCACCUCAAUAUUUGCUGGUGCAUUGUAGUUAGCCAGCUUCUCCUAGUUUCUGCUUUCCAAUUCCACCCCAAACUGAGGAGCCAAUUCUGGAAUGAAUAUGGUUUUUCUCUUCAUAAGCAAUCGCCUUUCUUGCACAGUUUGGAAGUGUUCCUCAUGUUUCCUUGAAAGGAAUCUGCGGGAAUAAAAUUUUGGAGGCCUCUCCGGUUC